rnacentral:rRNA from 1 species
AUUGAACGCUGGCGGCAUGCUUUACACAUGCAAGUCGAACGGCAGCGCGGGCUUCGGCCUGGCGGCGAGUGGCGAACGGGUGAGUAAUACAUCGGAACGUGCCCAGUAGUGGGGGAUAGCUCGGCGAAAGCCGGAUUAAUACCGCAUACGACCUGAGGGUGAAAGCGGGGGAUCUUCGGACCUCGCGCUAUUGGAGCGGCCGAUGGCAGAUUAGCUAGUUGGUGGGGUAAAGGCCUACCAAGGCGACGCUCUGUAGCUGGUCUGAGAGGACGACCAGCCACACUGGGACUGAGACAGGGCCCAGACUCCUACGGGAGGCAGCAGUGGGGAAUUUUGGACAAUGGGCGAAAGCCUGAUCCAGCAAUGCCGCGUGUGUGAUGAAGGCCUUCGGGUUGUAAAGCACUUUUGGCGGGAACGAAAAGGACUGUGCCAAUACCACGGUUCGAUGACGGUACCCGCAGAAUAAGCACCGGCUAACUACGUG